GAGGUCGGGAGAGGGAUGCGGAAUUCCAGGUGUAGCGGUGAAAUGCGUAGAUAUCUGGAGGAACACCGGUGGCGAAGGCGGCAUCCUGGACCGACACUGACGCUGAGGCGCGAAAGCUAGGGUAGCAAACGGGAUUAGAUACCCCGGUAGUCCUAGCCCUAAACGAUGAGUGCUUGGUGUGGCGGGUAUCGAUCCCUGCCGUGCCGAAGCUAACGCAUUAAGCACUCCGCCUGGGGAGUACGGUCGCAAGGCUGAAACUCAAAUGAAUUGACGG
rnacentral:rRNA from 1 species